UACGUAGGGGGCAAGCGUUGUCCGGAAUCAUUGGGCGUAAAGAGCGUGUUGGCGGUUCGGUAAGUCGGCUGUGAAAGUCCAGGGCUCAACCCUGGGAUGCCGGUCGAUACUGCCGGACUAGAGUUCGGAAGAGGCGAGUGGAAUUCCCGGUGUAGCGGUGAAAUGCGCAGAUAUCGGGAGGAACACCUAUGGCGAAGGCAGCUCGCUGGGACGUUACUGACGCUGAGACGCGAAAGCGUGGGGAGCAAACAGG
rnacentral:rRNA from 1 species